AUUGAACGCUGGCGGCAGGCCUAACACAUGCAAGUCGAGCGAGCCGCGGACGUGUGAGUAACGUAUGAGGCCCUGCCCGAUAGAGGGGGAUAACUACUGGAAACGGUAGCUAAUACCGCAUACCAUCGGCUGAACCCCUAUGGGACUAGCUAGUAGGUGGGGUAAAGGCUCACCUAGGCGACGAUCUAUAGCUGGUCUGAGAGGUGGAUCAGCCACACUGGGACUGAGACACGGCACAGACUCCUACGGGAGGCAGCAGUGGGGAAUAUUGCGCAAUGGGCGCAAGCCUGAUGCAGCCAUGCCGAGUGUGUGAAGAAGGCCUUAGGGUUGUAAAGUACUUUCAGCGGGGAGGCGUUACCCGCAGAGGAAGCACCGGCUAACUCCGUGCCAGCAGCCGCGGUAAUUC
rnacentral:rRNA from 1 species